UCUUUGGUGGUUCAAUGGUAGAAUUCUUGCCUUCCACACAGGAGACCUGGGUUUGAUUCCUGGCCAGUGCA
rnacentral:tRNA from 1 species